AACGCAACUUGCGCCUUUUACGAGGCAUGUUUGUUUGAGUGCCGCAAUUCUCUGCAGCAAUGCGAUUUGAUUCGAGUCUUUGUUGACCGAAUUUAAACAUAGCUAGAGGAUGGUCAGUUGAGACUAGUCCGAGUGCUAAGCAUUCUUGGGUCUAGUUGAGAUUGAUUGUUAAAUCUAACUUUUCAUUUGGCCUCAAAUCAAGCAAGACUACCCGCUGAACUUAA
rnacentral:misc_RNA from 1 species